GGUACUGCAUAUCGAUGGAGCAUCUAAUGCAUAAGGCAGUGGAGCCAACCUUAUACUCACAAAUUCUGAAGGGGUAGUCACUGAAUACGUCCUUCGAUUCAACUAAAGUCUCAAAUAAUCAAGCCGAAUAUGAAGCACUCUUAGCUGGCUUGAAGAUAGCCAAAGGGCUUGAGAUUGAUAGUUUAUGUUGGAGCACGAUCCCGGCUCCUCCCAUGGACCUUAGGUGCAGCGGAACCAGCAACGA
rnacentral:lncRNA from 1 species